rnacentral:rRNA from 1 species
GUUGCAGUUAAAAAGCUCGUAGUUGGAUUUCUGCGGGGGCGGGGCGGCCGGUUGCUUAUAGCAACUCGAGCUAGCACUUCCCCCGCAUCCUGCCGCGAACCGUGCUACCAUUAGUUUGGUGGCGCUGGGGAUCGGCUCGUUUACUUUGAGAAAAAUAGAGUGUUCAAAGCAGGCCACACGCCUUGAAUAAGUUAGCAUGGAAUAAUGAUAAAGGACUUCGGUUCUAUUUUGUUGGUGUUCGGGACUGAAGUAAUGAUUGAUAGGGACAGUUGGGGCGGUCAGUAUUCCAAAGCGAGAGGUGAAAUUCUUAGACCUUCGGAAGACUAACAGCUGCGAAAGCGUUCCGCAAGGAUGUUCCCUUUGAUCAAGAACGAAAGCUGGGGGAUCGAAGACGAUCAGAUACCGUCGUAGUCUCAACUAUAAACUAUACCAGCUAGGGAUCGGCCGACGUUUACUUAUAUCGACUCGGUCGGCACCUU